UACGAAGGGUGCAAGCGUUAAUCGGAAUUACUGGGCGUAAAGCGCGCGUAGGUGGUUCAGCAAGUUGGAUGUGAAAGCCCUGGGCUCAACCUGGGAACUGCAUCCAAAACUACUGAGCUAGAGUACGGUAGAGGGUAGUGGAAUUUCCUGUGUAGCGGUGAAAUGCGUAGAUAUUCGGAAGAACACCAGUGGCGAAGGCGACUGACUGGACAAGUAUUGACGCUGAGGUGCGAAAGCGUGGGGAGCAAACAGGAUUAGAAACCCCGGUAGU
rnacentral:rRNA from 1 species